UAGCAUGAGCAAUCUAGUUCGACAUAAGGCAACACAAAUUUCAAAUUUUCAAUUAUAUGCAAGGCAAAAGGCGAAACAAAGGUACAAUCCAAUGCAAGAACCUGCAGACAAACAACAACGCACGAUAUCAAGGGCUCACUUGUUGAUCCCCUAAAAAAACAUGAGUAGCCUAUUAGUGUGUUCAAUUUGCAUCUUAUCAUGAAUAUAAUUUUGAAUGGUGCUUGGGAUCCUGUAAAAAUCACCAUCUUGCAAGUGAUAACUUCUGGAUGGCGUUGCAGAUACGUGCUAUAAAGUUUAAGUGUAUUCAAAAAAUAGUAGUAAGAAAAAAGAAUGGAGAUACAGCACAUGACAAAAAUGUUGAACUACUAAAAGUGGCAGCAAUUCAAAAAAAAUAAAAUAAAAGCAGAACAUAGCAGCUAAUCAUGAUCAAUUAGGGGAGCACCGAAGCAGAAACAAGCAAGCAACAAACAUCAUGAUCGAACUGCACUUCAAAACCGAAACAAGCAAGGGAACAUCAUAAUCGCUUGCUGCUAGCCGACGAGAGCGGCAUCCCGAAGACGGUGACUAUUUACUAGACUCCUCAGUCAACAGCAUUGUGUGUUGCAGACUCACCAUGGUGGGUCAGUCCUGCAAGCUCCACCAUGCCGAAGGGCAAAGGCGUCAGCCGUGUGCCACAGAUGAACAUCAAUGAACAUAGCAGAACCACAGAUGAACAAAAAAAUAAACAGAGCCAGAGAAGAUCAAAAGUAGGGGAACACCAAAUUUUAAACUUAAAAAACGAGAAGCUCUAAGCAUCAAGGGUUCCAAACCAACAAGCAAACAUCAUCAUCCAUCAUGUCUUUCAGAUCAAACGACUCCAACGAACCACUACUACUACUUGCAGCUAGAUGACACGACGACAGACGACUGGCACCACCGAGCGGCAUCCAGAGGACACCGAGACAGAACACCCAUCAAGUAGCGCGCAGACAUUGGACGAACAGCUUAGUCCACCUCCUCGAUCUUGGGGCCGGCGCCGCCAGCACCGGCGGGCAUGUCCUCGUCCAUGCCCAUGCCGCCGCCCAUGUCCGGCGCGGCGCCCUGGUACAUCUUGGCGAUGAUGGGGUUGCAGAUGCCCUCCAGCUCCUUCAUCUUGUCCUCGAACUCGUCGGCCUCGGCGAGCUGGUUGGCGUCCAGCCAGCUGAUGGUGCCCUCGAUCGCCUCCUCAACCUUCUUCUUGUCGUCGGCGCCGAGCUUGGAGGCGAUCUUGUCGUCCUUGACCGUGUUGCGCAUGUUGUAGGCGUAGUUCUCCAGCGCGUUCUUGGCGUCCACCUUCUUCUU
rnacentral:lncRNA from 1 species